rnacentral:rRNA from 1 species
GUGGGGAAUAUUGGACAAUGGGGGGAACCCUGAUCCAGCCAUGCCGCGUGUGUGAAGAAGGCCUUUUGGUUGUAAAGCACUUUAAGCGAGGAGGAGGCUACCGAGAUUAAUACUCUUGGAUAGUGGACGUUACUCGCAGAAUAAGCACCGGCUAACUCUGUGCCAGCAGCCGCGGUAAUACAGAGGGCGCAAGCGUUAAUCGGAUUUACUGGGCGUAAAGCGCGCGUAGGUGGCCAAUUAAGUCAAAUGUGAAAUCCCCGAGCUUAACUUGGGAAUUGCAUUCGAUACUGGGUGGCUAGAGUAUGGGAGAGGAUGGUAGAAUUCCAGGUGUAGCGGUGAAAUGCGUAGAGAUCUGGAGGAAUACCGAUGGCGAAGGCAGCCAUCUGGCCUAAUACUGACACUGAGGUGCGAAAGCAUGGGGAGCAAACAGGAUUAGAAACCCGAGUAGUCC